rnacentral:rRNA from 1 species
GACAGAGGGUGCAAACGUUGCUCGGAAUUAUUGGGCGUAAAGCGCGCGUAGGCGGUUACUCAAGUCGGAUGUGAAAGCCCUCGGCUUAACUGAGGAAGUGCACCCGAAACUGAGUAGCUAGAGUACUAAAGAGGGUCGCGGAAUUCCCGGUGUAGAGGUGAAAUUCGUAGAUAUCGGGAGGAACACCGGUGGCGAAGGCGGCUCACUGGACCGGUUCUGACGCUGAGGCGGCGGAAAGCGUGGGGGAGCAAACGGG